rnacentral:rRNA from 1 species
AAGUCGAGCGGCAGCGCGGGGGCAACCCUGGCGGCGAGCGGCGAACGGGUGAGUAAUGCAUCGGAACGUGUCCUCUUGUGGGGGAUAACCAGUCGAAAGACUGGCUAAUACCGCAUGAGAUCGAAAGAUGAAAGCGGGGGACCGCAAGGCCUCGCGCGAGAGGAGCGGCCGAUGCCCGAUUAGCUAGUUGGUGGGGUAAUAGCCCACCAAGGCGACGAUCGGUAGCUGGUCUGAGAGGACGACCAGCCACACUGGGACUGAGACACGGCCCAGACUCCUACGGGAGGCAGCAGUGGGGAAUUUUGGACAAUGGGGGCAACCCUGAUCCAGCCAUGCCGCGUGUGUGAAGAAGGCCUUCGGGUUGUAAAGCACUUUCGGCCGGAACGAAAUCGCGCGGGCGAAUAUCCCGCGUGGAUGACGGUACCGGAAGAAGAAGCACCGGCUAACUACGUGCCAGCAGCCGCGGUAAUACGUAGGGUGCGAGCGUUAAUCGGAAUUACUGGGCGUAAAGUGUGCGCAGGUGGCCGCGCAAGUCGAGUGUGAAAUCCCCGGGCUUAACUUGGGAAUUGCGCUCGAAACUACGUGGCUAGAGUGUGGCAGAGGGAGGUGGAAUUCCACGUGUAGCGGUGAAAUGCGUAGAGAUGUGGAGGAACACCAAUGGCGAAGGCAGCCUCCUGGGCCAACACUGACACUC